GAAAAAGUCAUGGAGGCCAUGGGGUUGGCUUGAAACCAGCUUUGGGGGGUUCGAUUCCUUCCUUUUUUGUCUAGAUUUUAUGUAUACGGGUUCUUCGAAUGUGUGGUAGGGUGGGGGGCAUCCAUAUAGUCACUCCAGGUUUAUGGAGGGUUCUUCUACUAUUAGGACUUUUCGCUUCGAAGCGAAGGCUUCUCAAAUUAUGAAAAUUAUUAAUAUUACUGCUGUUAGAGAAAUGAAUGAGCCUACAGAUGAUAGGAUAUUUCAUGUGGUGUAUGCAUCGGGAUAGUCCGAGUAACGUCGGGGCAUUCCGGAUAGGCCGAGAAAGUGUUGUGGGAAGAAAGUUAGAUUUACGCCGAUGAAUAUGAUAGCGAAAUGGAUUUUGGCGUAGGUUUGGUCUAGGGUGUAGCCUGAGAAUAGGGGAAAUCAGUGAAUGAAGCCUCCUAUGAUGGCAAAUACAGCUCCUAUUGAUAGGACAUAGUGGAAGUGGGCUACAACGUAGUACGUGUCGUGUAGUACGAUGUCUAGUGAUGAGUUUGCUAAUACAAUGCCAGUCAGGCCACCUACGGUGAAAAGAAAAAUAAAUCCUAGGGCUCAGAGCACUGCAGCAGAUCAUUUCAUAUUGCUUCCGUGGAGUGUGGCGAGUCAGCUAAAUACUUUGACGCCGGUGGGGAUAGCGAUGAUUAUGGUAGCGGAGGUGAAAUAUGCUCGUGUGUCUACGUCUAUUCCUACUGUAAAUAUAUGGUGUGCUCACACGAUAAACCCUAGGAAGCCAAUUGAUAUCAUAGCUCAGACCAUACCUAUGUAUCCAAAUGGUUCUUUUUUUCCCGGAGUAGUAAGUUACAAUAUGGGAGAUUAUUCCGAAGCCUGGUAGGAUGAGAAUAUAAACUUCAGGGUGACCGAAAAAUCAGAAUAGGUGUUGGUAUAGAAUGGGGUCUCCUCCUCCGGCUGGGUCGAAGAAGGUGGUGUUGAGGUUACGGUCUGUUAGUAGUAUAGUGAUGCCAGCGGCUAGGACUGGGAGAGAUAGGAGAAGUAAGACUGCUGUGAUUAGGACGGAUCAGACGAAAAGGGGCGUUUGGUAUUGGGUUAUGGCAGGGGGUUUUAUAUUAAUAAUUGUUGUGAUGAAAUUGAUGGCUCCUAAGAUAGAGGAGAUACCUGCUAGGUAUGCAAGCAGGAGUAGGAGAGAGGGGGGUAAGAGUCAGAAGCUUAUGUUGUUUAUGCGGGGAAACGCCAUAUCGGGGGCACCGAUUAUUAGGGGAACUAGUCAGUUGCCAAAGCCUCCGAUUAUGAUGGGUAUUACUAUGAAGAAGAUUAUUACAAAUGCAUGGGCUGUGACGAUAACGUUGUAGAUGUGGUCGUUACCUAGAAGGUUGCCUGGCUGGCCCAGUUCGGCUCGAAUAAGGAGGCUUAGAGCUGUGCCUAGGACUCCAGCUCAUGCGCCGAAUAAUAGGUAUAGUGUUCC
rnacentral:lncRNA from 1 species